CCGAGUCCGGCGCCCUUUGGGUGCCUGCUCCCACCACAUGUGAACCUCUAAAUGUUGCUUUGGGGGGCCAGGCGGCUCCGCCCUCUGGCCCUGGCUGGGGAGCGCCCCCCAAAGGAUUUUUCAAACCCGCUUAACGGUGCGAUCUGAGCGUGGGCAAAUAAGUCA
rnacentral:misc_RNA from 1 species